UCCGGGGCGCGGGCACACGUGCGCGGGGCGGCGGCGGCGCCUCCUUUGUGCGCGGCCCCGCCGGCGGUGGGAGGGGGCUGGGGAGGGGGAACCGGCCCCGUGCGGUGACCGGGGGGGGGUUUUGGGCCCCCCCGGAGCCCCGCCAAGGUCACGGGCCCGGCCGCUCUCUGCGCGCUCGCCCGGCGGCCGCGUUGCACAAGGCGCGGGGGCACCGGCUGCGGGCGUGCGGCUGGCUGCUGGCUGCGCCCCUUUAUUUUGUAGGGUUUCGGAACCCGCGGGGGCUGUGGGUUGGGGUUUUCCCCUUUAUCUAUCGGCCGGGAGAGGCCGGCGCGCUCCGCGUGGCCAAUUUCUCGCGUGUUCGGCGGGGAGAGGCCGCGCCGGGAGGCACCGAGCCGGCGGCGGCAACGGGGGGCAGCGGGGGCCGGGGGCCGCUCCGUGCUGGUGUGUGUGGGGCACAGACACGGCCCCCGAUCGCCCUGCCCGGCUUCUGCGAGCUACCAGCAUCUGCCUUGCUUUAUAAGGAGGAGGCUGCCCGGCAGAAGCGCUGCUCGCGCUUGCAGUCGGUCUGGUUUUUCCGUGGUUUCGGCGGCUCCCCCGGCUGCUCAGCUCAGCACGCCUCCCUUUGUAUGAGUGCCGUCUGCGGAUGCCGCCCCCCAGCAGGCUUCUCCUGGAGUUCAGGCACCCGUUUUGGGUAGCACCAGGCUCUCGGGGCUUGCUCGCAGCAGUUGCAGUUGGAAAUGCGUGGCCGGGGUCACCUUUGUCUGUGAUUUCCAUCCUUCCUUCAUUUCCUGCUGCCACUUCUCAUAUCAUCCAUGAAUCGGCUCUUUGAAUCAGACGUGACCCCUGGCUAUUUCAAGCACUGCCUGCUCGUAACACCCUCCGAGGGUAAAGGUGGCAGCAGCCCUGCUGCACCAUGUAGGAAGGGUGGAUGCUGGCACACGCUGUGCCGGAGCGCUUUGGGGUGCUGCAGGUGUACGGCUGGCACGGGGCUGGGCUCGGGCGUUGUGCAAGCAGGCACACUCCAGGGUGAAAUGAAUGGGAUAACGCAGAAUCGGAUUCAGGGCAUAAAUCAGAUGUGUUGAAACGGCAUUGCCUUGUGAUGAUUUACUUCCAGAAAAGAGUGGUAAUAUCUUAAAUUUGUUUAGAUGUUCCCCAACUGCCUGUCUUGCUACAGAACCUGUUCCUCUCUGGGUGCUGUUUGUGAUUGACUUGUAUCACCAGCCGCAUUCCCCAAACUGGUUGGAUGAGGCUUGCUUCUGAUGUUCUUGAAUACUGUUGUCUUAAUACAGCUCUGUGUAGGUGUACUUCAGACUCCACAUAAAUGUCUUCAGUGUUUUUCCUUUCCACAUCUCUUAGAGAUUGCACCGUCAGCUGAUCUGCAUCUUCAGGGAUCUAUCUCAGAGUGCAGGGUAGCCUCUGCUUGGAAGGAGCAGAAAGACAGUAGUACUUGGGAAACUGGAGGGGAAGGAGGGGAACAGCAGACUCCUACAGAAGCCAUUGAAAAAACAUCAGUUUUAGUAGUUAGAUCCACAAGGUUAUUACUCCAUAGGCUGUGAGUUGCUUUGCAUUGGAGAUGAGACAACAAAGCAGGUAAAUGGGGAGAAAAUAUCAAGCAGCGUACUCCAUUUUAGGAGGCUUGAGCUAGAAAGCAAAAACUCAAGCUGUUUGAAUGGAUAUAUUGUCUGCAAGACUUUUGAAACAGUUCACAUUUCAACCUUUAAGCUGGUUAGCUUCUUCCUGUCUAAAUGAAUAUCUGCAGCAAUCUUCCAAUACAAACCUCAGAAUUAGCUUGUCUUUCAACUUCUGCUCUGGCUUUCUACAUGGAUAGUUCAUAUCCAGUUGUGGUUGUGCUUUUGCUAGUUUUUUCUUCUUUUCUGGUACUUCUGACACAUCUGUAGACAGCAGUCCUUUCAUUCUUAGCACUCCUUUGGGCACUGAAGUCUUACAGGCUCUUACAGACUCCUCUAAAACAGUUUUGCCAUUUUUCUGAUCAUCUUUCAUGUCCUUUAGUUUGCCCAUGUUUCUGGAAUGUGGGCAACAGUAGUGGUGGUUUUGAAUGGAGUCUCACAGUGUUAUGUAAAAAGUUACUACUGCUUCCAGGAAGAAAUGCUACAAUAGGACCUGUCUUUAUCACGAUUGCCAAGCUGUUGUGUAGUCAUCUUGUGAUUAGCAGUGAUAUCAAAUCAUCGAGUUGGUUCCACCUUCUGACCUCUCAACUUGAAGCAGAAGUUCGUGGUGUCCUGCACGCUGGAUUCAUUACACGUUCCUAACCAAUUACCCUCUUCCUGCUGCAACUUUGGAAUACCAACAGGGGAUCUUGUGCUGAUUUAUGGAUGCUGCCUAUCAAUUUGGAGACUUAAAUAUUUCAGUAAUAGCAUGAUUUCAUUUAAGACUGUUAGCAAAGGACGGUAAACACACUAUUUCCUUUCCCUUUCUGUUUACUACUUUAUUUUUUAAUUCAAAACAUAGGUGGUCUCUAGAGUACCUGUGAGGCCAAAUCCAGUCUGGUGGCCCUUGCAAGCAGUUGGAAAUGGUUGCUGAACUCCUGUGCUCCAGCUACAACACUGUUCAUUAGAGUUACCAACAAUCCUUGCUGUGACAGACUUGAGAAGAGCCAGUUCUCCUCAGUGUUAGGGGGUGGAAACUGGCCUUGCCCACAGUGCUGUAACCUGUCAAGAGCUGCUGCUCUGUCCUGAGAGCUGGUGUUUGCAGUAUGAAGCAAGUACUCGUGAGAGGAGUGAAGUUUGUCUAAACGGCUGCACCACUGCAAAAAUCAUUUGUCGUUGCAUCAUCUUUCAAAGGACCCAGUGUAUGUCAGUUCACUGGAAAAGCAGCUUUUUGCAGUCAUUGCGUAUCCAGCUUGCCUUAACCUUGGGAUCUUUUUUGACAAACUGUUUGCCAGCAGUGGAAGUCUGAAAGCUGUGCGAAGCUGCAGGAGUUCAGCUGUCAGCCAGGGAUGAAGCUGCAGUCUUAACUCAUGCCUCUUUAGAUGCUGAAGUCAGUCAAUUACCAGCUGGUUUUUAGUGGGAAACCUGGAUUCCUGUUUUUUCAGCACCCGUGGCAUUACUGAUCUCAGUCAGUGUGAACGUGUUCAACAGGCAGAUAGUUGCUCAAACUGGGCUGAGGGCUGAACCUGCUUCACAUCAGGCUAACAUGUUGUGAAUCAAAACCUGUUUUGUGUUUUGCUAUGUUUAGAAGAGGCUUUCUUUCCGAACUAGUAAUACUCGUGUUUAGACACUUGAGAAAAUAUCCUCUGUAGCUUACUCUCACCAUGCUAAGUUUACUUUGAGGAUUUAAACUGGUGGCUACAUCUUCCUUUGAGUCACCACAGUUAAUUCAGUGGUGCACAAGCUCUCAAGUCACUGAUCCCUACAAAAAAGUGGCAGACUUCUUCAGAAACUUCAUGUAUAUGUAUGUAUGCUUGUAUAUAUCUGCACACACGUGUGAGACAUAUAUAGAGACACACAUCUCUAGGUGGAAUUUGAAGGCAUGUUUUAAAUAUUUUAUUUGUAGAUAAGAGUUCAUUGGCCAUGGGUUGAUGUGUGGUGUUUUUUUUCUUGUUGUUUUUCUCUUAAGUGUUGUUUGUAGAACACUUAUGAAGCUUAUUUUAAUUAGGUGGCUUUCUCCAUUUAUUCCAGCUUGAAGAAAGAUGUGCUGGCUUUGUCCAGAUACUGAUUUCACAGCACACUGCAAUGUGAUCUAGUGCUAAAGCACUUCAGUGGAACCAGUCCUGCAAAUGUAAAUAUUUUGAAAUAAAGUUAUCUUCAAAGAUGUA